AGGAAAAAAAAAAUGAAUCUUCGACCUCCCACGACCCUUCCUGCGAGAUGGAGAAAGAAGCUUCAGAUCGCCACCACCUCCUCGUUUGCUCCUUCUAUGGCGCCACCACCGCUGCCUCCUCCUUAGAUCCUGAUAAGGCACCGUUGUCGGAUUCAUUCCUGGUCAUCAUCUUCUUACACGGUGGAAGCUUCGCCUGGCAUAGAGAGGCUAAUUCAGAUGCAUGAGAAGAGGUUUGAUUUGAUUAUUUUAUUUCCACAAACAAGAGCAGCUAGCAGCACUGCAUGGAUGGGCCGGCACUACUCGAGCAGAGGAGAGGACAGAAACAGAGAGAGCUCUACUCCGGCAGAGCUCAGGCGACGACGCCCGCACCGGCCU